AAUAUUUGACAAUGGGGGCAACCCUGAUCCAGCCAUGCCGCGUGUGUGAAGAAGGUCUNCGGAAUNUNAAGCACUUUAAGUUGGGNAGAAGGGCUUUAGGUUAAUACCCUGAAGUUUUGACGUUACCAACAGAAUAAGCACCGGCUAACCCUGUGCCAGCAGCCGCGGUAAUACAGGGGGUGCAGGCGUUAAUCGGAAUUACUGGGCGUAAAACGGGGGUAGGUGGUACAGGAAGAGGGGGGUGAAAACCCCGGGCUAAACCUGGGAACUGCUUUCAUAACUGCUGAGCGAGAGUAGGGUAGGGGGGAGUGGAAUUUCCUGUUUAGGGGUGAAAUGCGUAGAUAUAGGAAGGAACACCAGGGGCGAAGGCGACUACCUGGACUGAUACUGACACUGAGGUGCGAAAGCGUGGGGAGAAAACA
rnacentral:rRNA from 1 species